AGCUAUUUCGGGAAUGUAUCGUCAUAGAUUCGGUAUCAGCUGAUCUAAAACGAUUCACAAUCUUUCCAAGCCGGCUUAAAAUAUGUCGGAAAAGUAGCCGGUAAAAUUAUUCCUUGCAUUUCGYCGUGUUACGAAGAAUAUUUCUGUUCAAGAAUAACUUCCAGCCAAUUGAGAAAAAUUCGCGCCAAAUUUCGCAUUCCGAGCCGGCUCCCGUUAAUCAUUUGUAUGUGUUGGGACCGUCGCCUUUGGUUUCAGGGAAGAUACCUGUUUGCCAUUUGGAAGUUGAAUCUGGCCACAACUGCUUGGUUUUAUUGGUGUUGAAGACGAAUUUCACUUGAACCGUGCGUUUCACAUGUUCCACAGCUGGAGAAGAUUUGAAAUCUGUUUUACUGAAGAACCGCCAAAUCAKCUAUAUCCGAUGACACUCCAAGGUCAG